CCACCGGAAACCCCGCCCCUUCGCCCGGCCUCCGGUUGCUGGAGGGAUGGCCCGCGUGAUCCCGUCCUCUCCCGUAGGCCCCGCCCACCGGGGCUUGUCCUCCAACCCCUACCCUUGUCCCUCGGCUGAAGGAAAACCAAAUACAGGGACCUGGGUCUCCUGAAAGCCAGGGCAGAGCCAAAUGAGGUUACCACCGAAAAGGAGGAGCUGCAAACCCUUGUUUUCUCUGGCACGUGGGAUUAAGGGGCAUAUGGCUACUUUCUUGGACAGGAUUUAUUUUCCAGAUAUUUUCAAUCCUUGGUGGAUUGAAUCCUCUGAUGCAAUACCCGUGGAUAGUGGAUGGCCAGCUGUGCUAGAGAGACUGCUACUGCUGCUGCUAAGUCGCAUCAGUCGUGUCCGACUCUGUGCGAUCCCAUAGAUGGAAGCCCACCAGGCUCCUCUGUCCCUGGAAUUCUCCAGGCAAGAACACUGGAAUGGGUUACCA